rnacentral:rRNA from 1 species
UACGGAGGAUGCGAGCGUUAUCCGGAUUUAUUGGGUUUAAAGGGUGCGCAGGCGGAUUUUUAAGUCAGCGGUCAAAUCGUGGGGCUCAACCCCAUCCAGCCGUUGAAACUGGGGAUCUAGAGUGUGCGAGGGGCAGGCGGAAUUCCUGGUGUAGCGGUGAAAUGCGUAGAUAUCAGGAGGAACACCGGUGGCGAAGGCGGCCUGCUGGACAGUAACUGACGUUGAGGCUCGAAAGCGUGGGGAGCAAACAGG